GUAGCAUGCUAUCUGCUUCGUUUAUUUUUAAAGAAAUGAACUUGCUAGAAAUAUAAAUCCACUAGAAUUGAAAUUUGGGACCUCGGGUACCAACCACCAAGACCUUUGUCAUUUGCGCUAGGGACGGUCGGUCCAACUACUAUAGUUGGAACUGGGACAAGUUUAGGUAUAAUUCGAACUGCUAUAGUUGGAUCUUUCCUCACAGUUUCUAUUGCAGCAGGUGAAGUUAAAUAUAUCAAACCAAAUACCGAAUUUGUAUUUACAUAUAGUUACAAUUGCCGUGCAGUUACAAUUAUAUGUAACCAAACGGCUCCUAAGAAUAGAUGCUUUAACUUUAAAUAAUUUAAUUAAUAGUAUACACUCCAUAAAUAUAUUUGU
rnacentral:lncRNA from 1 species